GCAAGUCGAGCGAUAACGUUCUCCGGGCUUAUUAAAGCGGCAGACGGGUGAGUAACGCGUGGGAAUCUACCUAGUUGUGGGGGACAACAGUUGGAAACGACUGCUAAUACCGCAUACGCCCUACGGGGGAAAGCGGAGGAUCGUCGGACUUCGUGCUAUUGGAUGAGCCCGCGUGAGAUUAGUUUGUUGGUGAGGUAAUGGCCUACCAAGACUACGAUCUCUAGCUGGUCUGAGAGGAUGAUC
rnacentral:rRNA from 1 species